UAGGGGGAGGAUAGAUGACUGGCUGGUACUGUGGUAACUACAGCUCCAGCUCGCAGUACCAGACAGUCCUCUAACCUCCCCCUACA
rnacentral:pre_miRNA from 1 species